rnacentral:rRNA from 1 species
UACGGGGGGGGCAAGCGUUGUUCGGAAUUACUGGGCGUAAAGGGCUCGUAGGCGGCCAACUAAGUCAGACGUGAAAUCCCUCGGCUUAACCGGGGAACUGCGUCUGAUACUGGAUGGCUUGAGUUUGGGAGAGGGAUGCGGAAUUCCAGGUGUAGCGGUGAAAUGCGUAGAUAUCUGGAGGAACACCAAUGGCGAAGGCAGCUCGCUGGGACGGUACUGACACUGAGACGCGAAAGCGUGGGGAGCAAACAGG